UGUGAACAUGACACGUUCUGAAAACUGAAUCAGGAUUCAUUUGACUUUUUGUAUUUCUUUUUUCAGAAGCUUUCACAGGCAAAAUGCCUUUGAAGAUGUUUCUAUAAAGAAUGUGGUUUUCAGAGUCUCCUGAAGUAUGCAGUGCUUUCUGGAAAUGCAUAUCCCUCGUUUCUCUGCCUAACAUGGCAGAGUCAGGUCUUGGCUGCAGACCAGUUUAACAACCGCCAGGUGAUCUGGAUUCAGCUGGAUUAUUCCCUGCCCAUUCCUUGCCGCUCUCUGUCCCUGCCUCCAAAGCCCAUCCUGAACUUCUGCCCUGAACGGUCUCACCCCACCUGGAGCAGAUGGAGAGGCAGAGGGGUGUUCCUGCGCUUGCUGCAGGGCAUGUACUGA
rnacentral:lncRNA from 1 species